rnacentral:rRNA from 1 species
GAUGAACGCUGGCGGCGUGCCUAAUACAUGCAAGUCGAGCGAACGGACGAGAAGCUUGCUUCUCUGAUUUUAGCGGCGGACAGGUGAGUAACACGUGGAUAACCUACCUAUACGACUUGGUUAACUUCGGGAUACCGGAGCUAAUACCGCAUAAUAUUUUGAACCUCAUGGUUCAAAAGUGAAAGACGGUCUUUCUGUCACUUAUAGAUGGAUUCGCGCUGCAUUAGCUUGUUGGUAAGGUAAUGGCUUACCAAGGCAACGAUGAAUAGCCGACCUGAGAGGAGGGUCGACGGUAAUGGUAGUGAGAAGAGGUGCAGAAGACUACGAGAGGCAGCAGUAGGGAAGCUUCCGGAAUGGGCGAAGGAAGGACGAAGCAGCGACGCGGGAGUAAUGAAGGUCGUCGGAUCGUAAAAAUCUGUUAUUAGGGAAGAACAUAUGUGUAAGUAACUGUGCACAUCUUGACGGUACCUAAUCAGAAAGCCACGGCUAACUACGUG